GCAAGUCGAGCGGGACCUUCGGGUCUAGCGGCGGACGGGUUAGUAACGCGUGGGAAUAUGCCCAAAGGUACGGAAUAGCCUCUGGAAACGGAGAGUAAUACCGUAUGUGCCCUUCGGGGGAAAGAUUUAUCGCCUUUGGAGUAGCCCGCGUUGGAUGAGGUAGUUGGUGGGGUAAUGGCCGACCAAGCCUACGAUCCAUAGCUGGUUUGAGAGGAUGAGC
rnacentral:rRNA from 1 species